rnacentral:rRNA from 1 species
UGCGUAGGCGGAUUAAUAAGUCAGUGGUGAAAACCUGCAGCUUAACUGUAGGCUUGCCAUUGAUACUGUUAGUCUUGAGUACGGUCAAGGUAGGCGGAAUGUGUAAUGUAGCGGUGAAAUGCUUAGAUAUUACACAGAACACCGAUUGCGAAGGCAGCUUACUGGACCAUUACUGACGCUGAGGCACGAAAGCGUGGGGAGCGAACAGGAUUAGAUACCCUGGUAGUCC